rnacentral:misc_RNA from 1 species
GGGAGUAAAAGUCGUAACAAGGUUUCCGUAGGUGAACCUGCGGAAGGAUCAUUAAAAAUGAAGCCGGGAAACCGGUCCUUCUAACCCUUGAUUAUCUUAAUUUGUUGCUUUGGUGGGCCGCGCAAGCACCGGCUUCGGCUGGAUCGUGCCCGCCAGAGGACACAACUCUGUAUCAAAUGUCGUCUGAGUACUAUAAAAUAGUUAAAACUUUCAACAACGGAUCUCUUGGUUCUG